CUCUCUCUCUCUCUCUCAAAAAGAAUAAAUAAACAUUAAACAUUAAAAAAAAAAACCUCUCAGCAACUAGAAACCUCCUCAAGUUGAUAACGAGUAUUUACAGAAAACCAACACUUAACGUCAUACUUAAUGGUGAAAGAUUAAGUGCUUUCUCCCUCAGAUCAGAAACAAGGUGAGGAUAACUGUUUUUACUUUUAUUUAAUAUUGUACUGGUGGCUCUAAACAUUGCAAUCAGGCAAGAAAAAGACAUGAAAGGCAUAAAGAUCCAGAACGAACACAUAAGGGGCACCUGGAUGGCUCAGUUGGUUGAGCAUCUGACUCGAUCUCUGCUCAGGUCUUGAUUUCAGGGUGGUGAGUUCAAGUUCUGCAUUGGGCUCCAUGCUGGGUGUGAAGCUUACUUAAAAAAAAAAAAAAGGAAAAUAUAAAAUUUUACCUUUUUGCAAAUGUUAUGAUUGUUUAUAUAUAAAAUUCCAAGGAAUCUACAAAAUAACUAGAGGAACUAAUAAUUGAAUUUAGUAAGGUCACAGGAUACAAAGUUGUUAUAGGAAAAUCAAUUAUAUUCUUAAGUACUAGCAGCAAAGAAUUUGAAAAUGAAACUUCAAAAAAAAUGUUUUUAACGUUUAUUUAUUUUUGAGACAGAGAGAGACAGAGCAUGAAUGGGGGAGGGGCAGAGAGAGAGGGAGACACAGAAUCGGAAGCAGGCUCCAGGCUCUGAGCCGUCAGCCCAGAGCCCGACACGGGGCUCGAACUCACAGACCCUGAGAUCGUGACCUGAGCUGAAGUCGGAGGCUUAACCGACUGAGCCACCCAGGUUCCCCUGAAAAUGAAACUUUUAAAAAGCAAUUCCAUUUAUAACAGCACCACAAAACAUAAAAUUGUUAGAAGUUAGAAAUGAAUCUAAUAGAAAUGUCCAAGUCUUCCAUGCUGAGAGCUAUAAAUCAUUGCUGAGAGAAAUUAAAGAAGAUAUAAUUACAUGGAAAGCUAUACUGUGUUCAUUGAUCAGAAGAUCCAGUAUUUUCCCUGAACUGGUCUACAGAUUCCACAUAUUUUCGAUCAAAAUCUUAGGAGGCUCUUUUCUAAAGAUUGACAAGCUUAUUCUAAAAUGUGUGUGGACACGGGGAGCCUGGGUGGCUCAGUUGGUUGGGUGACCGACUUCGGCUCAGGUCAUGAUCUCGCGGACCGUGAGUUCGAGCCCCGCGUCCAGCUCUGUGCUGAUUGCUCAGAGCCUGGAGCCUGCUUCAGAUUCUACCUCUCUCUACCCCUCCCCUGCUGACGCUCUGUGUCCCUCUGUCUCUCAAUAAUAAAUAAACGUUAAAAAAAAAAUUAGGGGCGCCUGGAUGGCUCAGUCAGUUGGGCGUCAGACUUCGGCUCAGGUCAUGAUCUCGCUGUCCGUGAGUUCGAGCCCCACGUCAGGCUCUGUGCUGACGGCUCGAAGCCUGGAGCCUGCUUCAGAUUCUGUGUGUCUCUCUCUCUCUUUGACCCUCCCCCAUUCAUGCUCUGUCUCUGUCUCAAAAAUAAAUAAACAUUAAAAAAAAAUUAAAAUGUGUGUGGACACAUAACGCACAUAGGACAACCAAAGCUAACUUUAAAGAGAGCUGAGUUGGAGCACUUACUCUACCUGAGAGGUCAUGGGAGGAGAUGACCCAGCCACCUGGAACUUGAACAAUAAAGAAAGGAAGUGAGACUGAUAUACUCACCAACACUCUAUUCAAAAGCUUGAUUUGACAGGUACACGUAAGAGAAAAAGCAUGGAAUUCUAGGAACGAGAAAGAGUGAGUAUAGGGAGGACUCAGGGAGCUAGCCUUGGACAAUUUGGACUUUGACUCUGAGAGCAGAGCAGCAAUGGGGGAUUUAGAGCAGGGGAGUGACAUAGGUGGGGAGUUUUAAUAGCCUUCCCUGGGCUCUAGAGGGGAGAUAGUGAAGGCAGAGGAGGCCAGUGGUCCAGAAGAGAGAGGAUGGGGCCUGUGUUGGACAAUGUGUUCUCAAUCCUGUCCUUAGUCCCUAUCACAGUACCCUGUGACACUAAGCGGUCUCCCAGGAGGAUGGAAACGGUAGGUCUCCUACCCUUUGUCUCCACACCCACCCCUCCCGCUCAGGCGUUCUGUAUUGCCAUGAGCAUUGUCCGUCUGAGCUGAUCUCUGAGAGCCUCAACCUGCGCCCCUUAAAAACAUGUGUGGGUUUUGGUUUUGGCCUUUCCUUAGCUUUUGCCCCAUUGAGUUGGAAUUGCUUUCUGGCCUUCGACUUUUGGGACACAGAGGCAAAUGAUAGGAAAACUAGACAAUAUUGGACUUGUUAAAAAUCAAACAACCUCUAGGGCUAGGAUUCUCGGGGCAGUUGUAGGGCCGCGUGUAAUCACACUGUUCAGUUAGGAUGAGCACGAUAGAGCCUCCAGGUAGAAAGGUCCUCGUGGCCCCCACAAGUGGAAGAGGAAAGCAGAAGUAUAGAUCCUCUCUCCUGCAGGAGGCCAGCUGUCCCAUUCCAAGAGACUCUCACUUAGUGGUUUGCGACCGAGGGCAAAUUUGCCCUCCGAGAAACGCUUGCCAAUCCCUGGAGACAUUUCAUGGCUAUGACUAGGGGUGCUACUGGCAUCCGGUGGAUAGAGGCCAGAGAUGCCACUAAGUAUCCUACAAUACACAGGACAUCCUCCCACAACAAAGAAUUCCCCAGCCCCAAAUGGUAGUAACGCCAAGGUUGAGAAACGCUGGCUAGUGAGAAAACUGGGUACAAAUUCCAGAUCUGUCAUUUAUAGCUGUGUGACACUGGGCAGGUCAGUUACUUUUCUGGGCUUGUUUCCACAAUGAGGAUGAUAGUGGUUAGUACCCCAUAAGGCUGUUGUGAGCAUUAAAUGAGUUCUAGCACGUACAGUGUUCAGAUCAGUGACUGGGCCACGUGGAAGCCCUAUCUCGGAGUUUAUACUGAACCAUCCUUCAUUAGAAUCACAUGGAUGAUCGUGACCCAGAAGAGUCCUAGCUCUUCCCCCAGGAACAACGCCAUCCCCAGAUAAGUCCUCUCUUCUGUGGGCUGUACAUGUCCCUUCUCUUCAAAUGACUCAGCUCCUAGGUAUUUUACCAUGCUGGCCUCUUUUCUGGAAGGAUUCUAACGUGUCAGGAUUAUAAUAAGCCUCCCACAAUUGUACCCAACAAACCUGAUCUCCUGAAAGUACAGAGGGACCACGCUAUUACCUCACUCUGUUAGAUGAACCCUUUGAUGGAUGUGUCUAAGUGGGGUUGGCUUUUACUAUCAGAGCUAAGUGCUGCAAUUGGCUACUUAAACUUUGGCCAGCUGGGGUUUCCAUGCCAUUUUUCCGCAGAGGAGGAGUCCCAAGGUAGAGUGUUCUGGGCAGAAAUCGCAGAGAACAUGGCUGUCUCAUGACAAAUGCUGUACCUAAAAAGAAUUUCCCACCUCGCCUGAAAAUUCAGUAAAACAAAACUCUGCUUUCCUUGAGGUUAAGUGCAGUGUUUUUGAACUGGAAAGAACCUCAUGGAAAAGCCAUAUCACCAGGAAGGAGACCCUGACACCUGCAUGCCUUGUUGGUCCCCCACCAUUGCCUCCUAGGUUGGUUCAUUGCUCUGAUUUACUGUUUUUAUCAUUUCCUAACACCUCAGAGAAUAGCCUCUUCUAGAGCAGGAGCUCAUAAAAGAUUUUCCUUUGUCUAACAGCUUUAUCCUACAGCAUCCUGGAGAGUGGCUGUUUGACCCAAAAAAUAGCAGACUCUGCUACUGUAAAUAGCAAGAGCAAGUUCACUUCCAAACUUUCUGAAGUCUUGGGGGAACCCACUUAAGCAUUCCUCCCGUAGGCUUCUGAGAGGGUCUGUUAAGCUGUAAUGGCUUCAAUUUGGUCCAAUUAACCUCACACUGGGCUAACUUCUGCCUUUAGCUAUGUGUUGGCAGCUACUGCUGAUUCCAGGUACAGUAGUGGGCAGGGAACAAUGGAAACUUAGUGUAUCACAGGAAAAAAUACUGUCUCCAAGCACAAGAGAACAAACAACCUGGCUGAGGCAGGCUGAUCAGAAGUGCACAAUCCAUCCAGAAAUCUUCACAAAAGCCAAAUCAAGUGGAAAUGAAGUACAUGGCCAACUUCAAACGUGAGCGAGAUUUGUUUGUUUCAUAUUGUCAGUCGUCUUUUACUUAGAAUAUGUUGAUUGGCUAUUAUUUCCAGCUCUCUGUGAUUAAGGAAAGUCUGAGCCAAUUUCUUUUGCUAAAAAAAAAAAAAAAAAAAAAGUCUUUUUCUAAAAACCCAGUUUUCUUUGGGUAUCCUUCACUCUAAGCUUAGGCAUUCUGUGUAAGGCUGCCCCACCCAAGCAGGGCCCACAGCUUUUCUGUGGGAGACCCAGAGUCUGUUGUUUCCUUUCUCACUCAGCAUCCUUUGUGGUCUCCUCCACAUUCAGGGUGAAGCUCUUCUUUGCACACACCUGAAUGGUGGUUUUUAACUUGAGGGCUACGGUUUAUAACUAGCUAAUGAGAAGUCACAGUAGAACCGUGAGCACAGGGCCUGGAGGGCUGAAGGCCUCUGACCCAGCCAUUCACAUUCUAUAAUGUGGAGGCAUCAGGACCCAGAUUCUUUUUUUUUUUUUUUAAUGUUUAUUUACCUUUGACAGAGAGAGAGAGAGACAGAGCAUGAGUGGGGGAGGGGCAGAGAGAGAGGGAGACACAGAAUCCAAAGCAGGCUCCAGGCCCAGAGCCAUAAGCACAGAGCCCGACACGGGGCUCGAACUCACAGACUGAGAGAUCAUGACCUGAGCCAAAAUCAGAUGCUCAACCAACUGAGCCACCCAGGCGCCCCAGGACCCAGAUUCUAAGUGGGGUUCCGCAGAACCCUGGGGUCCCUAGGGAGUGAAGGGGAGGGUGGCGGUGGGAAAGGCUGAGCAAAUCCCAGCCCCCUCUUCCUGUCCAACCAGAGCAUCUCCACUUUGAUUUUUAAUUUUUCAAGUUUAGCAUAUAUUAAGAAAACUGCACGGGUCAUAAAUGUAGAGCUCAAUGAGGCUUUACAAACUGCACCUACCUGUGGCACCAGCCCAGCUCCAGAAAUAGAACAUUUCCUGGUCCCCUGGAACACACAGGCUCCUUUUCAACACUGCCUCUGAAAGGGAGCCACUCAUUCUCCCGACUUCUAGUAGCAUCACAUUGAUGUAUUUUAUAUAUCGGGGCCCCACAUAUUUUUUUUUUACUUUUUAUUUUAAAAUAAUUAUAGAUUCCCAGGAAGUUACAAAGAGAAUACAGAGAGGCAUUCUUUUCAGAUGUUCAAAAAUCUUUUUUUUUUAAAAGAAGUUUAAAAGCCAAUGGCGUAGUAGAAGAAAAUGGGUGGGUUUUGGAGCCAGGCCUCAUGGGACUGAAUCCAAAUUCUUUUCCUGACCAGCGUGUGACCCAGUGUGUCCCUUAUCUGUCCUGAGCUGCAGAGAAGUGUUCAUUCUAGUUUCCUGCAGUUGGGAGGAAUCAAGGUGAGACAGUUUGUGAAUGUGUACACAUAGGGCACUAGCUGAAGGUCAGGCCUCCCCGGGGCUCCAAGUGGAGUGAUGGAUGGAGCGUGGACGUUCCAGCAAGGCCUUGGCAUUUUUUGGUUUCCGAUCAAGUAUCACCGAGCACUCAGCACCCCAGCUCUUCCACCAUUCUUCUGCCUCCCACAAGUGCAACAGUGUCUCCCUGUAGCUAUUUGGGCAGGUGGGGUGUGUAGGAGUUACUGCCUGGGCAGGAAGGUGGGGAGGGCUGACCAAGCAGGCCCAGGAGGCAUGUCCCUCUGAGACUACUCUGGCCAGGCCUGUCUUUGGUCCCUCACCUUUGGGCUGGCCAUUGUGAAAUCAGCCCUGCUCACGUGCCACCUGGAAAGGCCACCCACCCCCCAUUUCUGGAUGGGGGAAGGGUGUGGCUCACUGGUAAUUAAAGGAGAAUUCCCAUUGUGGAUGAGUGACAAAAGACAGCCUCAAGGAGUGUCCUUACUAAAUCCAAAGGAAUCUGACCUCUCAUUAUCGGGAGGGGAGCUGAGGGCGACUCUUGGCCUGCUGGCCCUGAGUCAUCUCAGGGAAGACAAGCCAAGCCCACAUGACCCAUCUUAGAGGCCUGAACCUGGGCAGACAGGUGCCUGGAGCCACCCAAGAGAUAAAAUCUGGGCUGGCCGGAUCUGCCAGUGGUUAACAAUGGACAAAGGCUGUGGUUCGUCUCCUGUCCACUUUGCCCACCUCAGGCUGUACCUGCCACACCUCCAGACCAGGAAAGGGGAUGGACACAGAGGAAGAACUCUGUUCCUCUGGUAGCCUGCCAUCUUUCUGGCUUCAAAGUGUGGCACACAGCAGUGCCACCUCUGGAGACCAGCGUGUGGCUCAGUCUCCCUUUGAGGCAGCCAGGCCACUCUGGGAAAUACCUCCUGCCUCUUCCCUUCCUUGGCAGUUAACCUUUCCAGGAUAUCUUAGGGUGGCAGUCUUAAGUCUAAGGUCAUGGGCCUGUGGGGCGGAAGGGGUGAGGAUGUUGAUGGUGAUAAUGACAGUAAUAGCAAUAAUAGGAUGGUUGGGAGAGGCAGUGAGCAACAAGGGAGAGAAGAGGGGUCCUGGGUGGAGCCUCAGGUAGCCUGGAUGCCCUGCUACUAAUCAUGGCCCCAUCACUUAUUGAAUGCCUACAGGGACCGUGCGUUGCGCUGAGAACCCUGCAUGUAUUGUGUCCUUCAAUCCAAUAACACUAUGGAGGUCAUUGUCCUAAUUAUGAUGUCCUUCAAGUAACUCGCCUAAGGUCGUGUAGCUGGUAAGAGCUGGAACAUGACUGAAGUCUGUGUGGCUCCAAGCCCUUUCUUCCUUCUCCCUCCUGGCUCCUUAUCCACCACACAGAAACUCUCAACUUUUCCAGCUUUUUCUUCUGGAAAGGGUUUAUUCUUAACUAACUGCCUGGUACACCUGUUGCAGAUGACUGACACCUGUUAAAGCGUAACAGCGCGUUUUUUAGGAGCCUGGGUGAUAUAGCAGCGACCAAAAUCUCUGUAGAGCUGUGGUUCUCAAAGUGAGGAUGUUGGCAUGUGCAGUUUGCAGACCCCUUUCACAAUCAUUAUCUCCUUGCUCAAUAGCAGUGCUUCUCUGACUCCACAGGGCGUUGGAAUCACCUGGGGGACCUGUGCAAACACAGAUUAGCUUGACCACAACCCAGAGUUUCUGAUUCUGGAGGUCUGGGUGGGGCCUGAGGAUUUGCAUUUCAAACAAUCUCCCAGGUGCUGCUGCUGCUGUUCGGGGAACCACGCUUGGCAAAUCACUGCCUUGUAGCAAUCCUGUAGGAUUAGAAGCGCAGGGAUUAUUGUUUCCAUCCUUUAUUUUUUUUUUAAUUUUUUUUUAACGUUUAUUUAUUUUUGAGACAGAGAGAGACAGAGCACGAACGGGGGAGGGGCAGAGAGAGAGAGGGAGACACAGAAUCAGAAGCAGGCUCCAGGCUCUGAGCCAUCAGCCCAGAGAGCCCGACGCGGGGCUAGAACUCAUGGACCGCGAGAUCGUGACCUGAACUGAAGUUGGAUGCUUAACCGACUGAGCCACCCAGGCACCCCAAUUCAUCCUUUAGAUGAAUACAUUGACUUACAGGGAGGUUAGGUGACUCGUGAUUGGGUGACAGAGUUUUCAGAAAGCAUAGGAGGAACUUGAACCCAAGAUGUACACUACUUCUCAACAGGUCUGUGCAGUACUGAGAUUUCUGCAGUUAUGAUCCCUCCAAACGAUAGGUGUCUUUUCUGGGUCAUCUGGGUGACCACCGAGGCCUGGGUGCCGCCGGCUCUGCGUUUGUGUCUGUGAAGGCAUUGCCCCUGGUGAGGGACACCUGGGCCUACCCAGAGCACAUGGCAGGAAAAGCUUGCCAGACUCAAAAGUCCACAUUCACAUGCCUGCAGACACGUCUCACACGUCUGUAUCUUUACCUUGUUUUUUAUCUAACGGCUUGCACCAAGUUCUGGCCAGCAGGACGGGAACCUUAUCUUCAAGUGGAAAAGGCAGAGGUUUCAGAUGGUCACGGUUAGAACUGGCUUCAAGGCUCUCAAGGCUUGCUCCUGGCAGAGCUUUGGCUAGGCAUGAGUCUGAAGAUCCAGAAGUGGCCAAAGAGCCCUGAGGUUAUUCAUAAUGCUGUUUCCCCACAACGUGUCCAGAGCACAGCACCACGAGCUAAAUAAAAGUGGCGCGAAGGCCAAAUGCAGAAACAGAUGCGGACCCACACAUUUAACCUAGCAUUGGCAGUUUAGUUUCAGCAAAGCCAGACGCUAACCUAAGAGCCGUGAAGUUUAAGAAGUUUCUUAUGACAUUUCGAAUUUAGCUUCCGUUUAGUUUGGACACAGUCAAGAAACAUAGUGAAAAUCAUUGAAAUCAAUACUGAGGGGCUUGAGGGUUUGCCGCUGUUGUUUAUUAAACAGAGAUACACACUUUUUUCUAAGUUUAAGAAAUUCUCUAUUCAUGCUUCCCCCUUUAAGUCUAUAUAGUAGGAUCUCUAGGGAUGGAGAAGGCAAAUCCCAAGUGCCACGACUCAUCUUACAGAGGUGAAAUUGAGCUACAAGAACACGAUGAGAAGCUUUGAUGAACGGAAUCAAAGAACAUAAAUUAUAAUAAACUGGGGUAAAAAGGCAUUGAAAAAGAAAGAAGGGGGCACCUGGGUGGCUCAAUUGGUUAAGUGUCCGACUUUGGCUUAGGUCAUGAUUUUCCAGUUCUUGUGUUCGAGCCCUGCACCAGGCUCGCUGCUAUCAGCACAGAGCCAACGUUGGAUCCUCUGCUCCCCUCUCCCUCUGUCCCUCCCCCACUCAUUCUGUCUCUCUCUCAAAAAUAAAUAAACACUUAAAAAGGAAAUAUGAAAGAAAGAAAGAAAGAAAGAAAGAAAGAAAGAAAGAAAGAAAGAAAGAAAAGAAAAGAAAAGAAAAGAAAAGAAAGAGAGAGAGAAGUGUUUCCACAAAGCACCCUGUGGCCUGGCACGGUGAAGGGUUACUGGCUCCCCAGGGACCAGGGUGAGGGGAGUUUUAUGUCUGGAGAGUCAAAGAGUAACUUAGCAAGUCUUCCUGGCCCAGUGAAAAAGGACAUCAGAUCUAACCGCAGGUUUGGAUUGUAGACUCUGCCCUACCAUUUUCUAGUCGCAUGACUUAGAAUAGCUCACAUAGUUUCUGAGCCUCAGUUUUAUGAUCUAUAAAAUGGGGAUUGUACUCAAAGUGCUUCUCUACUUUUAAAUGAAAUAAUGUAAAUGAAAGCCUGACUUAACUGUGAAAGGUCAUACAAAUGUUCAUCCUUACUGUUUUCUCCCAGCUUUGAGAUAUAAUUGAUGUAUAACACUGUAUACGUUUAAGGUGUACAACACAGUGGUAAUUUUAUACACACACACACACACACACACACACACUUAUAUUGCAAAAUGAUUACCACAACGAGGCUAGUGAAAACAUCUAACACAUCACAUAGUUAUAAUUUUUUGCAUGUGUGGUGAGAACUUUUAAAAUCUACUCUUGGGGCACCUGGGUGGCUCAGUCGGUUGAGCGGCCGACUUCAGCUCAGGUCAUGGUCUCACGAUCUGUGAGUUUGAGCCCCGUGUUGGGCUCUGUGCUGAUAGCUCAGAGCCUGGAGCCUGUUUCAGAUUCUGUGUCUCCCUCUCUCUCUGACCCUCCCCCAUUCAUGCUCUGUCUCUCUCUGUCUCAAAAAUAAAUAAAUGUUUAAAAAAUUUUUUAAAAAAAUAAGAAAUAAAAUCUACUCUCUUUUAGUAACUUUCAAGUAUAUAAUAAGGUAUUAUUAACUAUAGUCACCACACUGUACAUUACAUCCCCAGAACUUACUCAUCUUAUAGCUGGAAGGUUGUACCUUUUGAUCGGCUUCAUCCGUUUUCCCCACCCCCACCCUUGGCAAUCACCAAUCUGUUCUCUGUUUCUAUGAGUUUGAUCUUUUUAGUUUCCACAUAUAAGUGAGAUCAUCCAGUAUUUGUCUUUCUCCCUCUGUACUGUUUUAUAGGUCCAUUUUUAAAGCUCUUAUUGGCUGACCCACCGACUUCUGUAAUUCUGCCCUUCCCCCUCACUGCCCCUCUGCCACAUUCAGAGAGUAGGACCAGCCACUCAGUCCCUACAGCCAUGAGGGGUCAGUUUUAUGGAGGCCACUUUCCAGGACUCUCAAGGGAGGGUAGAUUCUAUCUUACUAGACCUGGGCGGGGCCUUGGAGGUCUUCUGGUCCAAUACCUCCUUGUGAGAGAUGAGGAAGUGAAACCAGAGACACUGGACGUGACCUUCUAAAUGCCACAAGGGAGUUAGUGGCAAGCCAAGAAUGUACUCUCUGGGAUUCUUUUUCAAUAAAUUCUUUUCCCCAUUCUUCCUGUUAUACACAAGAAUGGAAAAAGGUGCCAAAUUUUCUGGAGGUUCAAGAUCCCUUUGUCAGAGUUUGAAGUACACAGAAAAACCAGAGAACCCUGCCUGGCAGGAUGGAAGAUGCCAGUCAGGACUCCUGUUGUGUCCAGUAAUAGAGGGCAAAAUGGCAGAGAGUAGACAUGGAAUGAGCCCCUUGAACUGUUCCAAGUCCUUAGAGGCUUCAGAAUGAAGGCUGAGGUAUUUCUGUUAAGGAUAUGCUGAGAAGACUCUCCCUGUUUUGGUAGAAAAGUUCAUUUUUUUCCUUCUAUUUAUACCCAUUAAAAUGGUAAUUUCAAAGGAUCACUUGUGGGGAGGGGAGGAGGAGGGCCUGUGAGGAGCAGGAGAGUGAGUCAUUCCAGAAAACCUGAGGGGUUCCCCCCCCCCACCCCCGGGAUGGGGGGAGAGGCUAAGGAUCUGAAACCAGAAAGGUCAGGCCCUCCUUACUUACAGGAUGUGUCAAUCAUUUCAGCUUGGCACAUGGAAGUGAACUUACAAGGUCUUUUCUUUCACGCUGAAAUCAGGAACCUAAGACUUUAGGACAUAGUGAAUUUAAAUAAAAAUUAUUUGGCUGGAAGUUGAAAGAAGAGUGAGUUAAAAGGAUAAACACAUUUAGAAUAUGUAGAAUCCAGAGAAGUUAGGCUAGGCAAUACCUUACGAGGGAAAGGUUUUCUUUCUUUCUUUUUUUUUUUUUAAUUUGUAAACCAUUCUAUCAGAAAUUCAUAUGUGGAAGAUGCUGCUGAAUGAAAUGUUUCAAUAGUAAAUGGUUUUAGCUAUUCAAAGAUGUAGAUAUUUAUCAGAAACACAAAAACUGUCCAAAGCACUUUUUCAGGUCAUAUUAUACAGUUAGAAGCCUAGAAUUAGUCUUGAAUAAGAUGUGGCCAAGAGAUUAUUGGUAUUUAGAAAACUAAACUAUCCUCAAGAACUAUGGGAUGUAUUCAGUAAAAAUACAUUCAUUGUAUUUUUUGAAAAAUACAUACAUACAUUGUAUUGUAAAAAUACAAUAAAAAUACCUUCAGUCUCAAUUCUGAAGGUAGAUUUCUAUUACUAGUGGUGACUUUUAACUUCAUUCUGAUUUAUGGUAUACGUGAGGCUUAGAGUUUGGCUCAUAGCAGACAAUUCAAGUACUGUUUGUUCUCCGAUGUAUCUCCAAGCUUCUGGAACUAUCCUCUCCUCUAGGUGGUCAAUCCAAUGAAACUGAGUCAUCCUCAUGGGGCAGAUGCUUGAUAAUUCAGCCACACCCCCAAGUUUAAACUCCAGAGGCGGGGAGAGAAACUUACGCAUGAUUCACAUCACUUAAUCUUUGACUCUCUUCUUAAAUUGUGACUUCAUUUCUACCAAAUAGCUCUGCAGUGGUUCGAACCUGUCACUUUGUGGCACCCAAAACAGUUCAGGAACGGGAAAGAAAGGCUGUUUCUGUUUGCUUUCCAAACCACAUGCCCACGUGAAUCUGGAAACCUAUAUACUCCCACGUUCACAUUAGAAAUGCUUGCUUUCCCCUGGCGGUGUCAAUUCCACGUGCUCAGCUAAUUUAUAUCAUUGUAGGCAGGUACAACCCUCUGAGCCACAUCAGAGCACGUUAAUGCUAACACGACCUGGAUCUGAGGAAGCCGCUUUGUAGAUCUCUCCAAGUUUCUGCAACCCAGCCAUUUGCCUGUAAUAAAAUAAACUGAAUGUGCGUACUCUGUUUUAACUUCUUCCAAGUGUCCCACAACCGGCUGCACUGGAGGCCAGGAGUGUGAAGGAAACUCACCACCUUAAUCACUUCCUUAACCCUUCAAACCAGCAAGGAGCCUGACUCACCAGGUCUCCAGGUCUUCUGAUGAGGCUCCAACAGGAAGUGGGCACAGCUGCCUUCUCCAUGAAUGUGAAUAAACCGUUCCUUCUGCAUCAGGUUUGCCCAACACCCAACACCACCUGAAAGAAACUCCUAGAGGCUGCAUAAAAAGGAAAAAGUCAGGCUCCAAUCAGGGACAUGCCUUGGAGAGCUGAGGAGAUUCCUUAAGCUGUUGUGGCUUCCUUAUGCUUGUUACUUUGGGCGCCCACCAUCAAUUUCCACAGCGGGAUUAGCCUGCACCUAUCUCCAGGACACUGGACUGUCCUGACCUUUCUGUGCUUCUGAGUAAAACCAUGAUGGUGAGUGUCCCGACUGCCAGAGCCACAGAGAUGAUAUGGGAGAAAGGAAGGGGCUGAUGUCCAGAAACAUUCUCCUGUUGGGGCUAGAAUGUGGUUCUCUUUUCCCUUUGGCUCUACCAAAAGGGGGAAGUAAGUAGAAUAGGUCCUUGCCCCCAGUCCCAGGUAGCAUGAGCAGUUUUUUUUGCCCUGCCAAUCAAAAUUUUCCAGAUGCAUUCUAUGCCUGCUCAUUUGUUUACUUCCUCCUUUGUGAAAGAUCUUAGGUCAUUUUAUCUCAACGUUAGCUCUCCUCUUCAUGUCUGACAUGAUUAGAGAGCCGUCUGGAGUGCAGGGACCGGGCUUGAUUUACCUAAGUCUGUCUUCAGGAUUUGAGGCAGCGUCCAGUACAUAAUGAGGAUUCAACAAAUAUUUGAACGAGCAAAUUCUCUUUAGCACAUGGUUACUGUCCUCAACUGUAUGCAAGGCCCAUACUCAGGCCUGUGUGUGUUGGGGGGAGGAGUGCCCUGGUGACUCGGCACCCACACCUUGCAAGGUCAUAGUCAAGUGAGGGAAAGGAAAGGCAUCUACUGUGGCUCUCAAGGCAGAAAUGGCACCUGCCGACAGGUGCACAUACACAUGCACAUAGUAAUAAGAUGCUUGUUGGUUAAGUUGGCAUGUUUUAAAUCCAAGAUUUCUGAAUGGUGUUUCAGCCUUCUAACCUCCAUACUCCUAAAAUCAGCCAAGUCACUCUGGAAGCUGCACUUUGAUGAGUCCCUUCUCUUUCCAGUCUUUGUGGGGUCUUUGGCUUGAAUCUAAAACAUGCCCCUUUUAUCCUCCCCUAGAUUCUGUGGCACCUCUUUCCCAUUUCCCGUGGCCCUUGCCCGGGGAUACUUAGCCCACAGCUCUAGAGGCAGAGGUCUUCUAAAGAACAAAUGUGUAUGCUGUUUGCAACAAUGGGUAGCGGUUGUAGUAGAACAGCCAAAAUUAAUCUCAGGUGGGGCGUGGGCUUUGUUCUGGAGAAGUCCAUCACUACUGUGGGUCUAUAGAGCAAGGGGAUCUGCAGACAGGAUUUACAGCCUGGCCAGCUGAGGAAGAGCUUGAGAGGAGUAGGGUGAAGGGGAGGAGGCCCACUUACUCUCAGGAAAAGAAAAAUCCAAAAGGCCUGAUGGACUUCUGUCGGUUGCAAGCUAGUGGUGGUGAGGGCAAGGGCAGGAGGAGAGGCUAGGAUCUGGUUCAGAGCUGCUGGAGGAACUGGAAAUCAUGGGUGGAGUCUGUUGCUUCGUUUUAAACAAUUAGGAUGAUGUUGCCAAAGGGGGAAAGUUUGAAAUCUGAACCUUGUGGCAGAAGUUAUUCGGAAAUUCUCCAUUCGUUUGGCAUUAAAAUGUGGUGUAAAUAAACACCCUUGGGUAGUCUGGAAACCCGGGAAGUCCCAGAGGCCCAAUGGGGCCACCUGCAUCUGGAAUGCCCCCAGGUCUUUAUUUUCAUGGCUAAUACAUGUCCAAGGAGGGAGGGCAUGAAGUGACUUUUGUGCCCCUCAUCUGGGCUGAGGAUGGGGAGCGGGGGAAGAGGGUGGUAGUGAGACUCUUUUGAAGCCUGGCCCUGGAAUGUGGCCUCAGAACAGGGAGGCCUUUUGAGAAGCCAGGGAAAGCUAUAGACUUCCCUUUGUGUUCACCCACACAUACCGUAGACAGAGGUUCUCCUGGCUCCCCUGAGCCCACCCAAGGGCCCUGAGCACUUCAUAAUUCUUCUCCCCCAAAUUUGGCCUCCCUUCACCUCCAGAAUCAACUCUUGAGUCUUCAUCGUAGUGUUCAAAACCCCCCAUGGCAGGGCCCCAAUCUCCCUCCCCAGCCCCUCCUGUAGCUCAUUUGGUAUGGCCACCCUCAGGCUCUGGGCUGCUGUUCCUAAUACCUGCUCUCCCCGUCAGAGCCCCAGCCACCUCUCAGUUUUCCUUUGCUACCCGCUGUUUAAAUGAGGUCUUCCCCAGCCCUUUCAGAAGGAAGUACUUGCUCUCUUCUUAACAAUCUCUGCGUGCUUGGACUUUAGUAUAUUUGUCAUAUGAUGCUGGCUAUUACUUCACUGUCUAGGUGCAUCAUAUGACAUCUAUCCAUGCCAGUGGAGGAUGAGCCGCUUGAGGGCAGGCAGUGUCCUCAGGCUAUCAUGUGUUCCCCGUGUGAAUGGUACUUAGGGUCCAGGGUAAUGGCCAACUUUAAGGUUUGAGGGGCUUAGGAGAUUGGAGAGAAUAAAUGAUAAUGGCAGAAAAAUCUUAGCUACCUCAAGAUUGGCAGGGCUGUGGGCAGGGAUGAGCCUGUUAACUACAGAUGCCUGGAGUCCUACAAAGAUGCAAGAGGGGGCGUGGCUGUGUGUGCUGGCAGGACCCCCCCACCCCCACCAUGGCCAGCAGAGCCCCAGAUCCUGACACCCUGUGCGGGACUAAAAAGCAAAGGGAAAACUCACAGGAUGCAAGAUGGCAUGAAAUGGAUUUUGCUUUUUUUUAAAGAUCGUAAUAUACAUUCUUUGCAUAUUGCAUUGAGUAAAAAGUUUUCUGGCAAAAAAAAAAAAAAAAAAAAACCCAAAAAACAAAACUGCCGUCGUCCAUAUUUCAUGCGAAGCUCCAGGCCUUUACAGCAUUUUUGACUUACAAUCUCCCUCUCUUUUUCUUAAACCAAAGGGUUCUUUGCUCUUUACCAAACAAUUUAGGCCUUGUUCUCAUUUUUCACUUGGGAUGUUUAAAAUGCUCUCGGGAAACAGUCCUACCAUUCAGAAAUUCCAAAUAUAUCCGUGAGCCUUUAUUAUUCUUCAAGGUUACGGGAAUUUUCCUUGGAAACUGUUUGAAUUUGAGUGCAAGUUUUGCCUUUCACGGCUCCUCUUGCUUUCAAAACGAGUUUCAGUAAAUCAAAGUCUCUGAACUUGUAUUUACUUAUUUGUUUAUUUUGCCACAUUCCGUCUGUCUAAAUAUGCGUGGUCAUUAAAAAACAAACAAGCACAAAGUAAUUUCAGGCCUCCCCCUAAAUUUCCUUUUAAAAAUUAACCGGGCCUGCCAUUUGUUACCUUCAGCAUUAAGCUGGUAUUGACAUUAAAAGAUGAAGCCAACUGAACAUAAAAAAGACAUCUUUUGGCAUCUUUUUUAAACAGUCUGAACAAAACCUCGAAAGCUGUCCCAGCUUUGCAAAUGAGACCCCUGACUAUGCCAAAUUUCGGGAACUGUUUUUAUGCCAAGACGCUCCUCCGAAGAGAAGGCGAUCCUAUGGGCUGUUGUGGGGAGAAACAAAAGCAUGUGCAUCUGAGGCACCAAGGGGAGAAUGCUGCCCGUGUCACUCCUCACCUGACAUUUUGGAGUGGAAAAUGACAGUGUUGGCACAGUAGCCUCUCCCAUACGGCAAGUGUGUUGGCUUCAGAGCCACUUCCGCGUCCCAGCAAUCUGUCCUGCCCAGGCACAGCGCAAGCUGUGGAGGCCCGGCUUGGAACCAGUUUCUGCAAACAGGCUCCUGGGCUACGACAGGGAGCCAGGAGGAGGGACCAAGUGCAGCUCUUGCUGGGAAGGGGGGCACUGCCUGGCUGUGCUCCUGAAGGGGCAGACUCGAAGGGCUCCUAAAAUGGGGGAGACCCAACACUGGCCUGUAACCGGAAAGGGCAACCAGUGGGGCCUGCGAUGUGCCCUAUGCUCUCAUCCUGUUGGGUCUGACCAGGUCUGGUGAGAAGCUGACCCAUGAGGUCAUCAUACUUCCUCCUUUACUAGCUGUGUGUCCUUAAGGACACCAUUUAAACCUCUCUGGGCCUGUGAAAUGUGGAUAAUAAUGUCAGCUCUACCUCCCUCCAGAUUGCUGGGAAGAGUCAGACAGUCUGUGGCUAGGAAAGCAUUUGGUAAUUUGUGAAAUGUCAUUAAACAGAGGUGGCGUGCCAUUAUAACUGUCUGGGGGCUCUGUGCUAAGAAUCUGUGCUCUGGUAGAGGGCCCUGGCCUCCAGGCAACAAGCUUUUGGCUUGUGUUUACUGAGACACUUAACUUCAUGGUUAUUUUUUCAAGGCCCAUCCACAUAUUCUAGUCUCCCCUGCCCUCCUGCUUCAUCUGGGGCCUUGGCCAAAGCACCCCACCUGUCCAUCUGUGCCUCAGCUACUCCCCCUGGAAUAUGGGUGUGCUCUGUAACUCCACCUGUCUUAGGGAGACCCAUCAGAACGAAUCCCGUUCAUUCGCUGAGCUAGCACUUAUUGAGGGUCUACUUUGUGCCUGGCGCUUAGGGUAGGGUUAUGAAUAAAAGAAAACUUCUGCCCUAGAAGAAGAGCCAGAAUGAUGGGUCGGCUCCAGGGCAAGGCAGUUAGGUUACAAAGAAACGUGGGGAUGAUGCCAUGGAGGCCACCGUGAGCCCUGCACUUAAAUAGCAGCCUUAGAAGGGACCUUCUUGCCUGCUUAAUUUCACUGACCCCUCUGCAAAAGAACCUGUGCCAUGCUCGUUAAGGAGCAAUGGUGAAAGCGGGAACCAUUUGCCCUUCUCACAUGGGGUUGGUCUCCACAACACGCAGAGCCCCAGGGAGGAGGUUACUACACUUCUUAUAGGGGUGUCAGGCCUAUUGUACAGAGACUGUCCUGAGCAAAGUGCACCCGACGUAAGGUGAUGUCACACAUGGGCACUUUGCUAACUUACCUGCUGAAAGUCGUUUCUCACUGGGGCCAAAGUCACACUAAGCAGUUACAGUGUUUGAUAAGGUGGUGGUGAAUGAUCAACCCACAGCGCACCUGGGAGAAGUCAGUCAGCCUUCCCUGAGUCACUGACUUGGUGACUUUUCCCGGCCACAUCUCAAAGUUUGUGGAGAGAUCAUCUCCUGUCCUCUGCCUGAAGCUGAGGGGAGGAUUCUGUCUGGAUAUAGGUUGAGCAGGGCACUUGACGGUGGCCAUAGAGUCAACCAAGUUAGAGAUGCUUUCUUUCGUUCAUGCAUGCAUGCAUCCUUCCAUUUGCUUAUAACUAUUAUAUCAAAUGGGCUGGACUUGAUGGGGUUAACGGGAAACAGCUUCUUCUUUUUUUUUUUCUUUCAUCACUGUCCUUCCAAACUGCUCUGUCUGAUCUUCCACUGGUCAGCAUCUCAGGCAGAUCCCAUACUUUUCAGUCCCUUGCUCUCUCCCAGCUCAGGCCUGACCCAACCUCAGAAAGCUUGCACAGCCGGUCUUUAAUCUUUGUGUUAUCUCUCGCCAUUCAUUAGCUGCUCCUGACUCCCCAAGGCAGGGCAGAGAGUGGGGAGAAUAGGAAAAGAAGCAAAUGGUCUUUUUACUUAGCUGGGCCUGCUGUAAUCUAGCCAUUGGUGUCCUCUAAAUACAGAUGCUCAGAUACUGCUUUUUUCUCUCGAAAGGCACCUUAAUGGGCCCCAUGGACCUGUCCCACCCAACCCAGGGCCUAUGUCUUGAAGUGUCUGGACCCGGAAUGAUGCCCCUCUGGCUGACUCUUAUGACUCCACCCCGGUUCCAGUGCCAGUGGGAUACUCCACAUGGCCAUCUAAUGCCAGGUUCACCUCUCUCUGGCAGUAAGGCCACUGGCUGGUCCUACUAAGAGGAUUUAAGCCUAGCUACCAAUGACAGGGUCCACGUCGUCCACAGAGAAGUUUCUCACCUGUUGUCCCAGCAAAUUCUGGAAGUGCAGGCCUCGUCUGAGAACUUUUUGUUCCCAAAGAUGGUGGCAGCCAGGGCAGGCCUACAAGGCCAUGCAGUUCAGUAAGCAUCCACCAGAGAUUUUAAUCUCUGCUCCUGGCACACUCCCCAUUCUCUGAAUGGUCCUCUUAGGGCCAUCUUUACUUGACUCAGUGAUAGGACAAGCACUCCCUCCCCUCCUCCAAUGAGACGAAAAGGAAAUAAAGCCAUGAUACUUCUUACUAGAACUCCCUUUCAUUCAAUCCAAAACUACAUCUAGGUUCACAUCUAUUGUUUUGGUCAACUCUUUUUUUUUUUUUUUUUUUAAAGAUUAUUUAUUUAUUUUGAGAGAGAGAGAGAGCAAGCAGGGACUAAGCUGUAAGUGUAGAGCUCGACGUGGGGGUUUAUCCCAUGCACAAGAUCAUGACCUAAGCUAAAAUUAAGAGUCAGAUACUCAACCGACUGAGCCAACCAGGUGCCCUGCCCCAGUUUCGGCCAGCUCUUAACAAGUCUUGCACGGAUGAAGGCUGCAUCUCUCUUUAGAAUAUGGGGUCACCUAUUAUCCAUCUCAGCUUUGGGUAUCAGCAGAAAUUCUCAAACCACAGAAACAUUCCAAUUUAACUUUCUGUUAUUCAUUAAUCCAUUCAUUCAUAAUAUUUAUUCAUCGAACACUUACCCAGCAUGUACCAUGUGCCCAGGUAUACCCAGGAAGGAGCAAAACUGGCCUGGCCUUGGCCCUCUUCUGGGUAUGCUAGGUGGAUGUACCAAAUGCUGGCCUCUUGAAACCUCUUGAAACAUCUAAAUUUGAUUAUCGCAACAUCCUACCAACUGGAACUCUAUUAUUCUUCAUGGGUGUGUGACUACAAGGACAGAGAGAUCUUCAUGUUUGUAAUAAUGGUCCCAAUUGCUGCAAGAUCCCAAAGUGCCUUUGGAGUCAUUGCUAAUAACUUAAUCAUUGGUGUUGAGUAUAUGUUGUUGAUAUCUGAUUCUUUAGCAAGUAUAAACUUCCCUGUGCUUCUGUCUUAAUACUAAAUAGAUGCAUGCUCCAAGGCAGAGGUGGUUCCCUAUAAUCAGAAUAUAUGCAAAAUCCUAACACCCCAUUAUUUGAGAGACUGAGUUCAGUUUUCCUGUUUAUUUAUAAAGUAGUUUGUAAUUCAACAAAAGACAUAUAUGUAUAUGUAUUUUUAAAUUGUUCCCACUGUUUGGUGUAUUUUCUUUUAUUAGAUUGAGUUUUCCUGGUUGAAAUUUUCCCUUUUAUCAAAAAAAAAAUGGAUAACUCAUUGAAAUAAUUAAUUUAACUUGAUUUUUUAAAGGCAAAGUCCUAUGUUUUUAAAACACUGCUUCUGUUCCUGGGCCUGCCACUCAAAAACAUUCAACUUAGAAUGUCUGCCUUGUUCCUGAAGUUAGAUUCUAUGUGUUUUGAUUUUGUGGGAUUUUUUUUUCAUCUCAUUAAGCCUCAGCAGAGAUGAAAAGUUUUGAUCGCGUACAGGGAAAAACACCAGAGAAUCUUUAUUGUUGCCAACCAUUACAUUUUAAAAAGUCUUGCUUUCUAACCCCGGUUCCCUGAUGUAAUAUAUAAAUCUUGUUAACCUUAUAAAUAUGACUUUUCAAAAGCAAGGAACUUCUCCUUUCUUCCUUUAUUAUGUCUAAUUUGCAUACCAGCACAUAGUCCAAGUGUUGGCAGAUAAUAAUAUUUUAAAGGGCAUCGAAGUAUAAGAAUAACUACAUACUUGCAGAUGUGUUAUGAAAUAUACCCCAUUAGUCACUUUAUAUUUGAAAGGCAGAAAAAUAGGCACCUAGCAACAGCAUGCCAUCAUUCAGGAUUAGAGAAAAGCCAUUUUACAUCUAGGAGAUAUUACCCCCUCUUUUGGGGGCUGUCAGACUAGUACAUUUAAUUACACAAAAGAUCCUCACAAGAGACUCGGCUGUUAAUUGUCCAUAUGCACGGUGAAUGGCAGUAAUGACAUCCCCCAAAGGAUGGCUUUUGGCAGGCAGGGGGCUUAUUGGGAGCCUUCCAGACAGGUUCACAAGUGAGUUCUGUGCAGAGAGACUUCGAGGCUCUGCUUGAGAACGGUGCUUUCCCUUCUGGAAAGCCACCAUCCUUCUUCCCUCUCUCCCCCUCUGAGUAGAUUGACAGGAGGGAGUGCACCAGCCCCCCAACCCAGAACCCAGAAAUAAGGAUCCAGCACCAAAGACCCACCUUCCCCCAUCAGCCACAGAGCAGAGCAUCAAAAUGCUGAGCCCACAUUAACAUCCAACUAGACUAUAUUUCCGGAAUGUUCUCUUCUCAUACCAGUUAGGACAGGUAAGAAGUAACAGGAGGCAAGUAAAGAUGUUGAAGAGAAGAAAGGUCAAAAUCUGACAUUCAGCUGGGAAGAAAUUCCUUCAGGAAUCUCUGUAGAUGCUUGUAUCUGUGUCACACAGUAGAGGGGAGAGCUUCAGGGCCCCAAAGUCCAUUCAGCAGGCAUUAAUAAACUUAGGGGUUCAGACUGAAGAUACAUAGCCCUGCCCUCAAGCAGUUCCCUUUUGGACAGAGGAGCUCGGCAUCAGAAAUGUCCCAGAAGCAGUAUGUUCUCUCUGCAUCAUGGAGACUUGGGAGCUGCAGAAAUUCACAUAUGAUCAAGUCAGCAUCUUGCCUUCAAGUCUUGGCCUUUGUUGGUUCAGUAGAAGAAUGGAAAGUGAAGCAGUGCAGUGGAGAUUCACAUGCAUGGAGAAGCCAGAGCUUGGGGGAGAUGCACUUCCUUCUCUACUUAAAGACAAAAAAGGAAAGAAGAAAGGGAGAGAGAGAGGGGGGGAGAAAAGAGUGCAAGAGCAAAAAAUGGUGCCCUUUAGAAGUAGACACUGGUGAUGGUUGCCCAACAUUGUGAAUGUAAUUAAUGCCACUGGACUGUACACUUAAAAAUUGUUAAAAUGGGGCUCCUGGGUGGUUCAGUCGGUUGGGCGUCUGACUUCGGCUCAGGUCAUGAUCUCACAGUUUGUGAGUUUGAGCCCCGCGUCAGGCUCUGUGCUGACAGCUCAGAGCCUGGAGCCUGCUUCGAAUUCUGUGUCUCCCCCUCUCUCUGUCCCCUCCCCUGCUAGCGCUCUGUGCCUCUCUGUCUCUCAAUAAUAAAUAAACGUUAAAAAAAUUUUUUUUGUUAAAAUGGAAAACUUUGUUAUAUAUAGUUUACCACAAUUUAAAAAAUACUGUAAUAUAUGAAAACUCUUUGAAUUGUACAUGUUUAUUUUAAUUUUUAAAAACUUUUAUUUUUAUUCCAGUAUAGUUAACAUACAGUGUUCUAUUAAUUUCAGGUGCACAAUAUAGUGAUUCAACACUUCCAUACAUCAUCCUGUGCUUAUUACAAUAAGUGCACUCCAUAAUCUCCAUCAUCUAUUUCACCCAUCUCCCCACCCACAUCCCCUCUGGUAACCAUCUGUUUGUUUUCUGUUGUUAAGAGUGCUUUGUUAUCUCUCUCUCUCUUUUUCUUUUGUUCAUUUGUUUUGUUUCUUAAAUUCCAGAUAUGAGUAAAUUCAUAUGAUAUUCAUCUUUCUCUGACUGCUUAUUUUGCUUUGCAUUAUACAUUCUAGCUCCAUCCAUGUUGCAAAUGACAAGAUUUUAUUCUUCUUAUGGCUGAAUAAUAUUUCAUUGCAUAUAUAUAUAUAUAUAUAUAUAUAUAUAUAUAUCACAUCUUCUUUAUCCAUUCAUCCAUCAAUGGACACCUGGGAUACUUCCAUUAUUCAACUAUUGUAAAUAAUGCACAAUAAACAUAGGAGUGAAUAUGUCUUUUCAAAUUAGUGUUUUCAUAUUCUUUGGGUAAAUACCCAGGAUCAUAGGAUAGUUCUAUUCUUUUUUUUAUUUUUUAUUUUUUUGAGAGACUGCCACACAUGUGCCUGGGAAAGAGGAAGAGGGAGAGAAAAAGAGAGGGAGAGAGAGAAUCUUAAGCAGGCUCCACACACAACGUGGCUUGGACUCACAACCAUGAGAUCAUGACCUGAGCCGAAAUCAAGAGUUGGACACUUAAUUGACUGAGACACCCAUGCGACCCAGGGUAGUUCUAUACUUAAUUUUUAAAGGAAACUCCAUACUGCUCUCCACAAUGGCUAUGCCAAUUUGCAUUCUCACCAACAGUGCACAAGGGUUCUUUUUUCUCCACAUCCUUGUCAACACUUGUUGUGUCUUGUGUUUUUAGUUUUAGCCAUUCUGACAGGUGUGAGGUGAUAUAUCAUUGUAGUUUUGAUUUGCAUUUCCCUGAUGAUGAGUCAUGUUGAGUAUCUUUUCAUGUGUCUGUUGGCCAUCUGGAUAUCUUUUUGGAGAAACGUCUGUUCACGUCUUCUGCCCAUUUUUUAAUUGGAUUAUUUGUUUUUUGGGUGUUGAGUUGUAUAAGUUCUUUAUAUUUUUUGGAUACUAAACCUUUAUCGAAUAUGUCAUUUGCAAAUAUCUUCUCUUAUUCAGUAGGUUGUUAGUUUUGUUGAUUAUUUCCUUGCUGGCAGAAGCUUGCUAUUUUGAUAUAGUCUCAAUAGUUUAUUUUUGCUUUUGUUUCCCUUGCCUCAGGUGACAUAUCUACAAAAACGUUGCUAUGGUUGAUGUCAGAGAAAUUACUUCCUGUGCUCUCUUCUAGGAUUUUUACGUCUUUAAUCCAUUUUGAAUUUGUUUUUGUGUAUGGCAUAAGAAAGUGGUCCAGUUCUAUCCUUUUGCAUGCAGCUGUCUAAUUUACCAACACAGUUUGUUGAGGGGACUUUUUCCCACUGCACAGUCUUGCCUCCUUUGUCGAGGAUUAAUUUACCAUAUAAUCAUGGGUUUAUUUCUGGGCUUUCUAUUCUGUUUCAUUGAUCUACAGGUCUAUUUUUGUGCCAGUACCAUACUCUUUUGAUUACUACAGCUUUGUAGUAUAACUUGAAAUCUGUAAUUGUGAUACCAUUUUCUCUGGUUUGGGCUUUCUUUUUCAAGAUUGCUUUGGCUGUUUGGGGUCUUUUGUGGUUCCAUACAAAUUUUAGAAUUGUUUGUUCUAGUUCUGUGAAAAAUGCUGUUUGUAUAUUGAUAGGGAUUACAUUAAAACUAUAGACAGCUUUGGGUGGUAUGGACAUUUUAACCAUAUUUGUUCUUUCAAUCCAUGAGCAUGAAAUAUCUCCAUUUGUUUGUGUCUUCAAUUUCUUUCAUCAACGUUCUAUUGUUUUCAGAGUAUAGGUCUUUCACCUCCUUAGUUAAGUUUAUUCCUAGGUGUUUUAUUAUUUUGGGUGUAAUUGUAAAUGGGGUUGUUUUCUCAAUUCUCUUUCUGCUUCUUAAUUAUUAAUGUAUAGAAAUGCAAGGGAUUUCUUUACAUUGAUUUUGUGUCUUGUGACCUUACUGAAUUCAUUUAUCACUUCUAGCAGUUUUUUAGUGGAGUCUUUCAGUUUUUCUACAUGUGGUAUCAUGUCAUCUGCGAAUAAUGAAUGUUUUAAUUCUUCCUUACCAAUUUGGAUCCCUUUUAUCUCUUUCAGUUUGUUGCCUGAUUGCUGAGGCUAGGAACUCCAGUACUUUGUUGAAUAAAAGUGGUGAGAAUGGACAUCCUUGUCUUGUUCCUGACUUUACGGGAAAGUUUUCAGUUUCUCACCAUUGAGUGUAUGUUAGCCAUGGGGUUUUCAUAUAUGGCCUUUAUUCUGUUGAGUAUGUUCCCUCUAAACCUACUUUGUUGAGCAUUUUUAUCAUGAAUCGAUGGUCUACUUUGUCAAACGCUUUUUCUGCAUUUGGUUUGAAAUGAUCAUAUGGUUCUUAUCCUUUCUAUUAUUGAUAUGAUAUAUCACAUUGAUUGAUUUGCAAAUAUUGAAGCACCCUUGCAUACCAGGAAUAAAUCCCACUUGAUUGUGGUGAAUUAUUUUUUUAAUGUGCUGUUGGAUUCAGUUUGCUAAUAUUUUGCAGAGGAUUUUUGCAUCUAUGUUCAUCAGAGAUAUGGGCCUGUAGUUCUCUUGUUUGUAGUUUCUCUUUAUCUGGUUUUGGGAUGAAGGUAAUGCUGGCCUCAUAGAAUGAGUUUGGAAGUUUUCCUUCCUCUUUUAUUAUUUUUGGAAGAGUUUGAGUGAAUUGUACAUUUUAAGUGGGUGAAUUAUAUGGUCUCUGAAUUUAUAUAUCAAAAAGGCCUUUUAAAAAAAUGGCAUCCACAACCAGUGUGUGUGUGUGUGUGUGUGUGUGUGUGUGUGCGCGUGCGCGUGUGUUUGUGUGCACACACAUGUGCCAACUGCCAAUUUCUGAAUUAGUCUACCUUGGGUAGAAAAUGUCAGUGAGGACCAGACAAAGGCAGGGAGGAGAAAUGUAACCUGUCUGCCCAUUGUUUACAGGCGCUCUAGAGGAGGAAAGAAGUAAAAUACAAUAAAUGCUAAAGUGAUAUCAUAAUAGUACAGGCUCCACAUAUUUUUAUAAGAGGGAGGAUUCCACACCACAAAGUCCAUGCCCAGUUCUGCUUUCUGUAUGUACUUUGUCUUCAAAGUCAGAGGCAUGGCCAGCUGUGCCUGCAUAGGCUCAUGAAGAUGUAGUAAUGGUCAUGUGGUGGUGACCAAGCCGAAGCUCCUAGUUCUUUUUGAAAUAUCUGAUUGUGCUUAGAAAUGCAGCAUAUCACCUUUGAUUAUACCUUGGGGCCAGAGUUCCUGUUCUUGGAAGCACACCACCAAAUGUCAACGGCUCAAGGUAGAGGUGAUGCUGGGUCUGGGUCAAAGACCUACCUCCCUACCUGGGAGACCUUGAACUGUCCUCACCUGGGAUUCUUUGGCCAUAAAAUGCAGAUGAUGAUACUUCCCUUGCCUUCUCCCUGGAGUAGCAUGAGAAACAAAAUCUAAACAAGAUAACAUGUGAAAGUGUUCAGUAAACUGUGAAUCACGCACUGCCUUCGUGGAAGUUUUUCUGGAUGCAUGUAAGAGAAACCCAAUAAAUAAGCAAAAAGGAAGGCACUGAGUUGAAGGAUACUGGAAAACCUCUCAGAAACCAUGGGCAGGAAGUGAGGCUGGAUCCAGAAAAGGAGUCUGGAGAGCCGGGACCACAAGCAUCCCACCCCCUUUGGCUCCUCUGGUUUUCAUUUCUCUCUCUCUCUCUCUCUCUCUCUCUCUCUCUCUCUCUCUCUCUCUGUGCAGACUGGCUUUUAUUCUUCUAGCUUGUAGGGAUGAAUGUAGUCACCCCAUGGCACUAUGAUUACACACCCUACAUUCAAGCCAUGAGCCCAUCCGUUUAUAUCAGGUCCUAAUUCAGAUUGGUUCAGCCUGGGCUGGGGGUUCGCUCCUUGUCUGAUGAGUUGUAAGUGUGGGCAGGAGUCACAUAGGAUAAACUCGGCCAUCCUUUGUCCAUCACUGUGGGGAUGAGCUGGGCAGGUAUCAGGAGAGGUACUGUCUACAAACAUUAUGACAAUACCUAGUGAUAUGAUUCCAACAGUCACUAGAAGAGUAAGAUUCGGUUUUGAGAAACUCCUUUCAUAGUGUCCCGGUCUCUGCUGUCUUCUGUGAGUUCUAGCAUAUGAGCUCUGUAGAGGCUGGCCACAGCUGGGCAUUGAGGCCAAACUGAACAAAGGUGAGGUUGGAGGGCCCACGGGGUGCCUUUGGGGUCCUGCAGCCACCUCGAUGGGUCCUGAAGCUCCCUCAAUGUGAUCAGGCUAUUCUGCUCGUGCCAAGGGGUCUGUGUUGCAUUUCUCACAAAACGUAUUACAAAGGAGAGUGGGCACAAGUCUGAGAAACUCAUCUUAAGUUAGCUUAAACAAAAAAGGUGAUUAUUCAGGGGCUCCUCUUCCAGAUCCCUCUAUCUCUUCCUGACUGCUGUCUUCUGAGCCAUCCUAUUUUCCAGCUCUCCACCAGAGACACACACGGCAGGCUCUGCAUUGAUCUCACAUGAAAGGACAGUGGGAAGAUGCUAAACCAAGGGCCGCUGAUUCUUUUUUUCCCCUUCUUUUUCUUUCGUUGCCUGUGGUCUGCAAUUACCCAUUCCCCUCUUGGCCUUCAUAGCUGUGAGAGGGUGAGCAGGUGUUGAGAGCAACUUUGUUCUUUUUGAGUCAAUCUCGUUACAUGGAAAAGAUCCAACUCUCUCUGGGUAGCUGGCAGCUCCUCCAAGGCCAGACCACUGGGCAGGGCUCCCAAGAGCAGUGCUAGCCUGGUUGGUGUCCCUGCCCCCCAGAGCAGGCUGCUUUUCAAACAGAUGCACAAAUAAUUGGAUGGCCCGGAUAGACUGCUGUGGUGUGAGGUAGUGACUCUAGGAGGCUUGCAGAAAAGGAAAAAAGAAAAUCUCAGCUGAGGACCCUUCUUUUAUCCCACUCAGUUCUAUGCUAGCCCUCAGUCUCUUCUAUCCUCCUCUGCUGUUGAGCACAGGUGAGCCAGUGACUUAACCCUGGCCAGGAGACCUGCUCCGGCUACUGUCAAAGAUGUUGGUGACGGGAAGGCCAAGUGGAAGAGUGAGGCCAAGCAGAAGACUUUUCCUUGCCCAGGAUCAAACUGGGCAAAGUUCCCUGCAAGACUUAACCCUUAAGAAGCCACAAAGGUAGGGGGCGCCUGGGUGGCUCAGUUUGUUAAGCAUCCAACUCUUGGUUUUUCUACUCAGGUCAUGAUCUCGCAGUUCUUGGUUUCAGCUCAGGUCACAAUCUCGCAGUUUGUGAAUUCGAGCCCUGCAUCGGUCUCCGCACUGACAGUGCAGAGCCUGCUUGGGAUUCUCUCUUUCCCUCUGCGCCUCUCCUGCUUGCGCUCCUCUCUUUCUCUCAUUCCCUCUCAAAAUAAAUAAAUAAACUUAAAAAAAUUUUUUUAAAAGAAGCCACAAAUUUAAACAAGUAAAUGAUUACAUUCAUGGCUAGUUACUUAAGAAUAGUAACUGAUAUCUGGUCCUUGCACCAGUCAGUUUACAUCGAUCGGUUCAUUUAAUCCUCAUAGUGCUUUGAGGUAGACACUUUUAUCAGUCCAUUUUACA